rnacentral:rRNA from 1 species
UGGGGAAUCUUGGACAAUGGGCGCAAGCCUGAUCCAGCCAUGCCGCGUGGGUGAAGAAGGCCUUAGGGUUGUAAAGCCCUUUCAGUCGUGACGAUGAUGACGGUAGCGACAGAAGAAGCCCCGGCUAACUCCGUGCCAGCAGCCGCGGUAAUACGGAGGGGGCAAGCGUUGUUCGGAUUUACUGGGCGUAAAGGGCGCGUAGGCGGGCGAUCAAGUCAGGGGUGAAAGGCCUGGGCUCAACGUGGGACGUGCCUUUGAAACUGAUUGUCUUGAGUGCGGGUGAGGGUGACGUAAUUCCCAGUGUAGAGGUGAAAGUCGUAGAUAUUGGGAAGAACACCGGUGGCGAAGGCGGUCACCUGGCCCGCAAAUGACGCUGAGGCGCGAAAGCGGGGGGAGCAAACAGGAUUAGAUACCCCUGUAGUCC